UACGGAGGGGGCGAGCGUUGUUCGGAAUUACUGGGCGUAAAGGGCGCGUAGGCGGUGACGUUAGUCGGGCGUGAAAGCCCCGGGCUCAACCUGGGAUGUGCGUUCGAUACUGCGUUGCUUGAGAGCGGAAGAGGGUAGUGGAAUUCCCAGUGUAGAGGUGAAAUUCGUAGAUAUUGGGAAGAACACCAGUGGCGAAGGCGGCUACCUGGUCCGUUUCUGACGCUGAGGCGCGAAAGCGUGGGGAGCAAAC
rnacentral:rRNA from 1 species